rnacentral:lncRNA from 1 species
CCACGCCCCGUCAGGGCCCGGCGUGUGAUGUUCCCCUCCCUGUGUCCCAUGUGUUCUCGCUGUUCAACUCCCACUUAGGAGCGAGAACAUGCGGUGUUUGGUUUUCGCUUCCUGUGUCAGUUUGCUGAGAAUGAGGCCUUCCAGCUUCAUCCACGUUCCCGCAGAGGUCAUGAACUCAUCCUUUUUUAUGGCUGCGUAGUAAUUCCAUGCUGUAUACGUGCCACACUUUCUUUAUCCAGCCUAUCAUUCAUGGGCAUUCGAGUUGGUUCCAAGUCUUUGCUAUUGUAAAUAGUGCUGCAGUAAACAUACGUGUCCACGUGUCUUCCUAGUAGGAACUUCUUCCUCUUCAGCCCGCUGAGUAGCUGGCACUUUAAGGCAGGUGCCAACGCACCGGCAGCAAGCUUCCUUUUUUGCCCGGGAAAAACUGAGGUGCAGGUAGUAUAAGCCAUUGAUCACGGAACGCACAGGAGCAGAGCUCGAGUCCAAGCAUCGUGGCUCCACCCGUCAUGCUGGAUGCAUCUUUAGGCUCCGCUCUAGGUAUGUGUAUCCUUUACGGGAUCAGCCACCGGCAGUUGCCUUGCGAGCACGAUGACAAACCUCUGCCGGCUCUUUUGGGUCUCAUCCCUGUAUCUAUACGUUGCAUCCCAACAUAAAGACCGGAAUGUUCCUUUCGCUGACCCAGUCUCUCACCCUUUCCAAACUCCAGAAAUCUUGUCUGUCCUCGGAAGAACUCCCCCUGCUUCUUUCUCUAAAGGCUGUCUUCAGGCCGGGCACAGUGGGAGGAUCGCUUGAGCCCAGAAGGCCGCAGUGAGGUGAGAUCGCGCCAUUGCACUGCAGCCCCCGGCGGCAGAGCCGGAGCCCCGUCUCGAAACAAACAAACAAAAACCAACCAACCAACCAACCAACCAACAAACAAACACAGACAAAGAAAGAAAGAGCCCAGGCAACCUAGUGAAAACCUGUUCGGGCUGGGGCGUACCUGUACCCCAGCUGUUCCGGAGGCUGAGGCCAGGAGGAUGGGUGGACGCUGGGAGGUGGAUGCUGCAGUGAGCAGUGAUUGCACCACUGCACUCCAGCCUGGGUGACAGAGCCAGACCCCGUCCCAAAUAAAUAAACAUAAAAAUAAAGGAACCAGUUUGUAGAAAGCGGGGAGAGGGUCCCAUUGAACUUCAAGCCUUCGAGCAACAGCUGUGGCUGGACAGGUUUGGACCAGCAGGCUGGAGCAGUCGCCAUCUUGGCAGGGAUCAUUGACCCUGAUCUAUCGUCGGGAGGAGGAAGAGCUGAUCUUACGCAGGGAGGGCAGGUGGACUAUGUGUGGACUCUGGUGACCUGUUUGGGUGCCAGGUGUUACUCCCAGGGCCACCCGUAACUGUGAAUGUGCAGGAACCCUGACUUGAGAAGGGCCUGGCCACGGGGGGCUUAGGCCCCUGGGGAAUGAGAGUUUGGUUCCCGGUACCCAGGGAAACCACCAGCAUCGGCAGAGGUGAUAGCUGAGGAGGAGCGGGGAUUUGGACGAGAGACACAGGAUGAGUACCGGGGGGCAGCCCCGUGAUCAACAACUGCUGCAAGAGGGGCCGUUUGUUCGACUCGCUAGUCUUCUGCGGCUCUAUGCGGUACUAAAGAGCAGAAGACAGAAGAUACAAAAACCACAAAAAGUAGCCGGGCGUGGUGCUGCCCGUCAAUAAUCCCAGCUACUCGGGAGGCUGAGACAGGAGAAUCGCUUGAACCCGGGAGGCGGAAGUUUCAGCGAGCCGAGAUCACGCCGUUGCAGUCCAACCUGAGCGUCCGAGCGAGACUCUAUCUCAGAAAAUAAAGACAGAAUGAAAGAGCCCGGCGCGGUGGCUUACGCCUGUAAUCCCAGCGCUUUGGGAGGCCGAGGCGGGCGGAUCGCCUGAGGUCAGGAGCUCGAGACCAGCCUGGCCGACAUGGCGAAACCCC